GCCAAGGUGGCGGAGCGGGCAAUCGCACUGGACUGUAAAUCCAGCGACCGAAAGGUCUACCUAGGUUCGAAUCCUAGCCUUGGCA
rnacentral:tRNA from 1 species